AUGGGCCGGCGUGCAGGUAGCAGAAUAGCACAGGUUCUUCCAGGACGCUCUUCCUCCUGAACUGCUGUCACUGCCUCCUCUUCUCUUACCUCUUCAGCGCACGGAUCAAACCCUCACAGUCCACUGCAGCACCCUGCCCGUCCACUAGAGACACUAUACACUGAUUUGCACUAGAGAAGAGUCAAGCUUUCUUGACCUCGCCAUAUAUGGGAGCCAUAUCUAUGUAUAUACUACACGUAUUAUCAGACGAUCUGAGAGCCAAAUGGCAUGCGACGCUACCGUUGCAUGAGCUAAACGUGAAAGCAGAUGCACUAAAUGCGUUUCUCCGCCGGCAGGAAACUCGUCCUAGAUGCUUCGAUCACUAUAAACGAGGAGUUUCUGUCGUAUAAUCCAAGUGCAACAUGAGAAUCAAACUCUAGCUCUUGAAUGUAGCAAGCACUCACACCAUGUUUGAAAUGCAUUAUGGGUAAGCGCAUUAAGACAUGCGAUCGCUGUGCUGUUUUAAUGCAUGCCCACACUGCAGUCGAUCAAUGCCAGGAUCCAGUAACACCCCAGAUAGACCCUUUCUGUCAGAUGCGCUGAUAUAAUGUGAGGAUCUGUGGGAAAUGCAGAAGUGAAUGCUGGGAAACGCAGGGCUGGUGGGCGGAAGUGCAAAGAGAGAGAGAAAUGUGCGAAUUAAAUGAGUUCAUAUGAAUUCUGUGGACUCUUUCAUUUCUGGACUGAGGCGGUGUGGAUGCUCGGUUAUGUUCGUUAGCGCUAGCUAAUGCAAUCGUGGACACGAUGUUUAUUUAUAAAGCAUAUUCAAUGCACAGUGGUCAUAGAAGGGGUUUGCGUAAAGUGUAAAAAUAAUCAUGAAUUUAAAAUGAUCGUAACACGUUAAAAGUAUAUAACAAUAAUCAUAAAUGAUAGUUAACAGUGUUUUAAAACAAUCAUAACAGGUUAUUAAGACAUUUAAGUGUAUAUAAAUAUAAUCACAACAGAUGAUAAAGAAAUAAAAUCGACAAUUACAAAAUGUAUUUUGGUUUAAAGUAUAAUUAGAAACAAGUAGAUGAUGCAGUGCAGUUACGAUUGUUUUCAGGAGAAUCACGGUUCAUGAUUAUUUUUGCAGGUUGUCUGAGCAGCACAGCCAAACUAAUUUACCUGUUUUAAAAACAAUGCCUUACAGCGUAAUAUUAAGACCAAAGAGGACCAAAUCUUUGUCAUUAUCUAAUCUUUGUUAUUAAAAGAUAAGAACUAAGAUACACAUUGCAAACACACAUAACAAAACAAA